GACGAACGCUGGCGGCGUGCUUAACACAUGCAAGUCGAACGGAAAGGCCCUGCUUUUGUGGGGUGCUCGAGUGGCGAACGGGUGAGUAACACGUGAGUAACCUGCCCUCGACUUUGGGAUAACUUCAGGAAACUGGGGCUAAUACCCGAUAGGAGCUCCUGCUGCAUGGUGGGGGUUGGUAAGUUUCGGCGGUUGGGGAUGGACUAGCCGGUUAUCAGCCUGUUGGUGGGGUAGUGGCUUACCAAGGCUUUGACGGGUAGGCGGCCUGGGAGGGGGACCGGCCACAUUGGGACUGAGAUACGGCCCAGACUCCUACGGGAGGCAGCAGUGGGGAAUAUUGGACAAUGGGCGGAAGCCUGAGGCAGCAACGCCGCGUGCGGGAUGACGGCCUUCGGGUUGUAAACCGCUUUCGCCUGUGACGAAGCGUGAGUGACGGUAAUGGGUAAAGAAGCACCGGCUAACUACGUG
rnacentral:rRNA from 1 species